GGUGGCCCGCUCGAGCUUCAGUGUUCCCUCUAAGAGCACAUGGUCACCUCACAGGGUGUCUUAGGGUUACUGUGCUGUGAUAAGGAAGUCAAGGCAAGAGCUUGGAGGCAGGAGCUGAUGCAGAGGCUGUGGGAUUGCUGCUUGUUCUCCAUGGCUUGUUCAGCCUGUUCCCUUUGUCUUGUUCUGAAACAGGGUCUCUCAACAUAGCCUGGCUGUUCUGGAACUCACUACGUAUACUACGUAUACUAGGCUGGCCUCUGGCAACUCAUGGAGAUCUGCCUGCCUUGCCUCCUGAGUGCUAGCUAGGAUUAGAGGCCUGUCCCACCACACCAGGUCCAGCCUGUGUUCUUAUAAAACCCAGGACCACGAGCCCAGGGUUGACCCUACCCACAAUGGGCUUGGCCCUCACACAUCACACACCAAUUAAGAAAAUGCCCUACAGGCCUGUCUGCAGCUCUAGCUUAUGAAACACUUUGUCAAUUGAGGUUCCCUCAUCUCGGAUGACUCUAGCCCGUGUCAAGCUGACAUAAAACUGGGCAGCACGCAAGUGCUCCCCCAGGCUCGAGACACGCAGGGCAUCAGGCAGGAACCUGAAUCUGGAGAGAAAGCUCAAGUUCCUAGCUGGAAACUAGCAGCAUCGAUGGAGGCUCUCAGGAAAGCAAGAUAGGCCUGGGACCUGGCUUAGCUCUGCCACCCUGCCUCCCUCAACACCAUCAAAGUCAUUGUUAAACCUCACUACUCUGGAACCCCUCUGAGAGGUAGAAAUUGGAAUUAUGGGUAGAGAGUUCCGCUGCGUCGGCAGUUCUACUGUAAGCAGAAUGAAGUAUCUCGUUGCUACUUCAUAACUAUAAUUCUGAUACCGUUAUGAAUCAUAAUGGAAAUAGUCGAUAUACAGGAUAUCUGAUAUGUGACCCCUGUGAAAGGGUCACUGGGCCUCCAAAGGAGGUCAUGCCCCACAGGUUGAGAAACGACAGAGGAACAGAAUUGACAGAAUAUAUAUAAGAGGUAGGCGCUAAUGUCAGAGAAGGAAUGGUCUUGCCAGCGAGAGUAAAGAAGGUAAGCAGGCAAAGAGAGCAAGCUUCCUUCGUCCUGUCCCGUAUAUAGGCUGCUACCAGAAGGUGUGGCCCAGGUUAAAGGUGGUUCGUCCCACUUUAAAAGAUCCAGACUAAAAGUGGGUCUUCUCAUUUCAAGUGAUUUAAUUAAAAAAGGAAAAUAAAAUCCCUCACGAUUGUACACAGCAGUUGGGUUUUAGUUAACUUUAGUUAUAGUCAAAUUGACAACCAAAAAUAGCUGUCACACCAGGUGUACAGAGACAGGUGCACCAGGAUGUGACAUGCAAAUAUGUUGCUAGGGUGCCCCACCCACUCCUUGAAAGAGCCCUAAACCAGGCAGGUUCCUGAUUUGUGAACCUAUACCAACCGGCCUUGUGCUGGCUGAAAUGAGUUGUUUCAUGGUUUGUAGCCUCUCCUCCCCACUCCCUUUCCAGGCAGCUCCAUCUUUGUCCACUGAAACUCCCAGUGCCUGCCCUGUGUCCUAUUAGUUCCUAGGUCAGCACAGGGCAUGGGAUGCCCAGUGUGUGUGUUGGGGGGUGAGGGGCUCCCAGUGUCCUAGGCUGAUUCCAUGGUUUCUGUGGGCCCACCUUCCUCUGCAGACCUGCAAUGUGUGUUUCUGCCACCGGUGGGGUUGGGAGGCAGGUGUCACAAUUGACUGAUCAGAGAUUCCAGCACACAAGCAAAACAUACAAGAAGCCCACGCACUGCCCACUGUCAUGGGAAGGGACACCAGGCCCUAUCUAUUGGUCAUUGACUCUGAGCCCUAAUCCACUCUCCUUUGUGUGUAUGAGGUAGGGGUGGGGAUAUAGGGAACCCACAGGAAACAGCUGUUAGGAAUUUUUAUUUUUUUGUAAUGUUGAGUGGGGUAUGAUGGGUACGCUCGCCUUUAAUCCCAGUGCUUGAGAGACCAAGGCAGGUGGAUCUCUGUGAGUUCAAGGACAGCCUGAUCUACAUAGCCAGUUCUAAGCCAGCUCUAGUGACAUGACGAAACAAUGACCCAAAACAAUAAAAUGACAUUGGAAACAUGU
rnacentral:lncRNA from 1 species